rnacentral:lncRNA from 10 species
CCCAGCAGGAACCAGCUCUUGGAAGGCAUUUGUGUGUAUCUUCAGCACCUAGAAGAUGGCAGAAGAGUCAAAGGAAUAGGAACUUGAAUUUGAAACUGGAGGCCUGUGUCUGCUGCACCACCUUGAGAGGAGCAGGAGAGACAUGGUUUGGAGGCCACAUUGAGGAUGAGGAAAGACAUCUUUUGCAUCUAUAGCUCCUAAAGUACAAGAAGUGCGAAAGGAAGGCUGUCCUUGUUCAACGAGGCUACAGGAAAAGAAGAGGCCUUAGAGGAGAGCUGAGCUUCAGUUCGGGCAAGAAGGUGAAGACGAUGUUUGAGAAGUUGCACAAAUUGGGAAGAAAUUAGGAAGUAUGUUGAUGUAAGAUCUCAGCUGACCACAAAUGAAACAUGGGGACAACAGGUUCUCAGCUGACCACACAUGAAACAUAAGUUAUGAGGCAUUGUCUACUACAUCCUGAUAUCAACCUUGUGGAAUAGGUAUCACUAUGCCCAUCUUACAGAUGACAAAAAGAAGGCUCAGAGAGGUUCAGUAACUUUCCCAAAGCCACACAGACAUCGAUGACCGUGCUAGGGCUCAAACCCUGGUCCUCAUGACUAGAGAGCCCAGGCUUUUAAAAAUGAAAUGAGUACAUUUCAAUACAAUACAAUGAAAAAUCGCUGUAGUACAAAACUGCCAAAUAACCUAGAGGAAACCACCUUAACCUGUAUCUAAACACAAAGAAAAAAUAAAUUGACCAGAUGAGACACCU